UUGUUUUCCAUUUGGUCUGGCUGAAUGUGAAUGGGUGACUCAUGGCCAUGUAGACUUUUCAAUGAUUAAGCGCAAUUGGGAGUCCGGCAGCUGGUAACGCCCUCGAAAGAAGGCAGAUAAAGAAGAUAUGUGGAUAGGCACAGAGUUUCAGGGCAGUGUGCGAUCUGAGAGGUCGGCAGAUGUCAUCAGUCAGGCUAGAGUGAGCUCACCAUGGCCCGUUGUGGGAUACACAAUCGCAGCAAAGAGAUACAUCCGAGACAGCCCAACAAUCAGUUGAUGGAUGCACUGUUUGCAGAGGGUGGCCGGGCGGACAAAUUGCCAGAAGCUGGUGACAAUCGGAGCAAAAACAAAAAACUGUAUAUAGAUGGAAAAUAGAAACGACAAAUGCGGAGUCAUGUUAAUGUAGAGACUUUUAUCUAGUCUCUGGUUGCAGUA